AGCACUUUUCCUUGCUGCCGCCAUGAGAAGAAGUAUGUGUUUUCUUCCCCUUCUGACAUGAUUGUUAAGUUUCCUGAGGCCUCCCCAGCCAUGCUGAACUGUAUUGCCUCCAGCACACUGUUUACAUUCCUACUGUGUCUCAGCAUCUGUUCUCCUGGGAAUAGAACUGGUCCACCUGAACAUAUGAUCUGUGCUGCUGUUGGUGCAGGAGGACAGGAGGGAAAUAAGCUGGAAGCCAUGGAUGUGGAGAGUCUGGCUUCAAGAUGGAGCUUGUUUACCUGCAGGUUGUCCCCCAGGAUGCCCUCACAGCUUGUGCGUGACAAAGAUGUCCUCCGUGUACACAUAAGGUAGCGCUGAGAAGCCACGAGAAAGCACCUAGUGAUUUUAACAUAAACAUUUCCACAGCAUUUUCAAGUUCUGCGAAAAAGCCCGGUGAUAGAUCAGCCUCGCGGUGUGCAGCGCCGGCAGCUCCGCACUUCGGACACCUGGGGGCGCCCGUGCCAUUCCGCCGGCGACUGGGACUCGUCGCCCGGGAAACAAAGAUGGGGAUUUAAAGAAAAGCCUUCAAAAUGCAACUCCGAAUGUCU
rnacentral:lncRNA from 1 species